rnacentral:rRNA from 1 species
GUCUACAGCCAUACCAUGCUGAACAUGCCCGAUCUCGUCUGAUCUCAGAAGCUAAGCAGGGUCGGGCCUGGUUAGUGGUUAGUACUUGGAUGGGAGACCGCCUGAGAAUACUGGGUGCUGUAGGCU